CGUCACCGGGUUUCUUUGUUCCCAUUCUCGGCGAGCUCUCGCGCCCUGUGUGCUGUGGUUCCCUUUUCUCCGGGCCGGCGGGGGGCCGACCCUUCGGCACAGGAGCUCCCGCCAGAGCCGCGGCACUCUCGGAAUGGGGCUCCUGCUCCACCAUCUCUUACCAGACAAGGUCAACGGCACGGAGAGCCAGACAGAUCUCGAUAGGACCUGCAGGCAACGAACGCUGCCGACGGCCUGGCCGUGUUUUUAUAAAGCUCACAGGGACUCUCUGCCUGCUGUCUUGGUACGAGAUGAGGGUGAUUUCUGGACAAAAAACUACACCAAUUAAAACUCAAAGAAGAAAAAAUAAGAGCCUUGAAGAGUUCAUGACGUACUCGGGGAAAUCCCUCAAAACAGAGGCAUUAAUGACCACUGACUGUCAUUACCACUGAGGAGACUUGUUGCCAGAAACUUGCCGAGGAAGAAUGCAUUCCUUGAACUGUCCCAAUUCAGCGACCAUGUGCCUCUGCCUGAGCUUCCGUUCACCCCAGGUCUGCAACUCAACAUGCCCAUUGUUUCUGGUCGCACAAGGGCUCAUUCUCUUCCCAGGGACAAAUGGCUUCAUUACCAGAGGGCUUUGCUCUAACGGCUCGAACCUCCUUGAGAGGGGCCUGAACCCUGAAACAGGGGUACCGUGCUCCUCGGCCGCCCCAUUUGCUGCCCCUUCUCCAAGGUCAGGAAGAAUCACACAGUUCACAUCUGACAUCUGGGCACAAGGCUGUGUUGUGAAUUAGACAUUAUUAAACUGAGGUCAUGUCAACCUCACGAGAACCAGAAAGAGCCCCAGUGUGGUGGGGCAGGGAGUUAGUGACGAGGAAGGGCAGUGGGGAAAUAAGGAAGCCCAGAGUCAAGGCGUCCACACCACACUAGUGGACAUGCUAGUGAGAGAUUACUAUUUAUCUCCUAUAACACGGCACAUUUACAAAUCCUCAUAUCAUUCUAGUUACACAAGAUGCUCUUUUGGGAAAUUACCUAACACAGUAGUAAGGACGUAGGCCCUUCAUAAUUGUCAGUGUGCGUGUGCGUGUGUUUGCUGAGUGCGGCUCCGCUGAGCAUGUGAAGGGAGAAGCGGGUUCCACUCGAGGAGUUCUGGAGUCUGUCAAAUUGCCUUUGGACAAUUUUCAAGAUGAAUAUAAAACUUCUGUGUGUCUGUGCUCCUACAGAGCCUCGGGGCUCUGCUACAACCUCUCCGCUGACCUGGAUCUUAAUGACCGUGUUGCGUGUCCACUGUCCUGGGCAGCAAGCUCGGCUCAGAGUCAGGCCUGCAGUCAGGUCGCCACUUACGAAGAGAAAGGGUGUGAAACUUCAGGGGAACGGAAGGUGGCACAUUCAGGCUUAGCAAAACGGUCCGGGCCACAUUUAGGGCAGGAUUAUUUAGGGAGCCAAGUGGUUAAGUUCACAAAAUGCAGUUCUCUGUCUGUCCGUGCUAAAACAAUCCCCCAUCUACGGCACCAAAUUCUCACAUCCAGGCCAGGAUGUCUGGAAGGAGGCUUUUAUUCUCCUGGUUGGAAGAGGGAGCUAACAUGCUUUGCUCUCUCCAGCCUAGUCUGCUAAUAACUAAGUGGGAUGGCCGUACCACACAAGGCUGACUGACCGGCUUUCCUGGGGAUCCAAAAAAAGUCCUCAGAUCGACAGGACAAGGGAAAAUCUGGAAACGCAUCAAGGGGCUUCACCAGGAGCCUGUGCUCUGUAGAGUGUCCCAGUUUGGCCACGUCCCAUGUGCAAGGAAAGACCCCUGCUGGCACAACAUCCAUAUCAAAGGGGAAACAGAUCCUCAUGACAGAUGUUGUGAACUGUGGGGAUCCCAGCACAGAGCUCAGCACGGCCUCCACGGACGUCCCCUGGACGCCCUGCUUCUCCACGACUCACUCAAUAAGACCAGGCCCUCGCUGACCUUCCGUGUGCGUGUCUUCUCUCCACAGGCCACUACGUACAUUUCCACUCCAGCACAGCUGACUUCACUGUCAUAUCCCUGAUGGCUGUGCCUCAUCUGGACAGUCCUCUGACUUUCAGAAAAUGCUGCUGUGAUUCUCACAAAGGUCCGCAGAGUAAAGCCUCUUAGCGAGUAAUAAGAAACAACAACAACAACAACAAAAAGACACUCCUACAGAAGCCUACAGUAGUGAUCUGCAGUCAUACUAGAGUGAGAAUGCAGAGCAAGGGGAAAGUGACAAAUGGCAGGUCUCCACAAAGCCCUCAUAUUUAAAACAAGGGUGAAAGUAGUAGGCUGAGCUCAACUGGGUCUGUCACUGCCGUCACAGGGUCACAGGGAGCAGGGAAGAAGGUGCAGGUGGAGCACAACUACCCGGGGCCCGGUGGCCGGGAGAUGACCGUAACAGAGACUGAGGAGCAGAGGAGGUGAGAGGACUUGACUCAGGUGCAUCACAACUGCCCCAAGUGAGCCCCCAUUACCAGAGCAACGAAGCCCGCGAAUGAAGCCAUGACGGAGUUUUGAAGAACACUAGCUUGCUUCUUCACUUCGGUUCUCUUUUUCUACUUUAUUACGAAAACUGGCAAACAUAGAAGUGGAAAAGAACAGACUAUGGACACUCAGCUUCGACACCGGUAGACAGCCUCACGCUAACACUCGUUUUUUUCUGAACCACGUGAAAACAAGUCACAGAUGUCUUGACACUUCAACCCUAAACACUGUAGCAUACACCUCCUAAAAAUAAAGACAUUUUCCUACAUAACCACAAUAAAAUUAACACACCCCCAAAAAACUGACAAUACUUUCCUUCUAUCCAAAGCCUGGUCCACACUCAAAUUUCCCUAUCCUGCCCCAUUUUUUAUAGUUGUUUUCUUAAAAUCAUGACUCAGUCAAGGCUCAUGCACUUCACUUGGUUUUGUAUCUUGUUUCUUUUAGUAAAAAACAAUCCUUUCAUCCCCUAACCCUGUUUGCAUUUUUCCCUUGACACUGAGACUUUUUUUUGAAGAUACCAGGCCAGUUGCCUUGUAGAAUACCCAACAAUCUUGAUUUGUCCAUUUCCUCAUGAUGUCACUUAAAGUGUCCUCUAUUCCCUGCUUUAUAGAAACGAGGUUAAAUCUAAAGGCUAGUUCAGAAUCAGCUUAAAUAUUUUUGGUGAGACUCCUUUGCAGGUAACACUGUUUAUUCCUACCACAUCACAUUUGGGAGGAAUAAUACUGAGUACACCUCAGAAUCAGAAUAAUUUUAUACAUAUAUAGACAUACAUGAUUAUGUAUAUGUGUACAUGUAUAAAUAUAUACAUAUAUAUGGGGGGGGAGAGACAGAACGACAAGACAGACAACAUGCCCGGGGUCCUCUGUGGCCCUGAAGAAUCAGAAUUUUGGUGAGGGAGAUGCAGAAGGCUGGCUGGGCAGGGCUCCGUAUGUUUGGAAGAGCUCUUUGGGUGAGUGUUGACAGCACUGUUGAGAAGCCCUGUCCUAAGAGAUGCCACCCUGGAAGCUUAAAAAGUCCUUUACCAAAGGGAUUUUACUUCUAAGAAAUGGUUGCUGUAUUUCUCUGAAAUGGAAUCACACUUUAUAUACGACGUAUGAAAGCAGGGAAAGCUCUGCAGGCUUGGGGAGUAAGAUACAACCUUGGAGAGAGGCAGCCCUUUCCAGGAGGACUGACUUGAACCAACAGAGCCCGGGCUGUAGUGAUGAGGAAAGCUCUUGCGUGACGAGAAGGAGGGGCCAUCUGGCCGCUAACUUCAGAGCUGCGCGUCUCAGAAACGACAGCCCUGGGCUCCUGCCGCCUCCCUGUGACCCUGCCCUCGGCCGGCCAGCCUGCCCUCAGCCAGGCUGCGGGCGGCAUCAGGUGCCAACACCACGCUGGGCAAAGGGCACUACACUGUGCGAGCUGGCAUGGUGGCGUUUUAAGAGCUCUGUAAACAGACUCGGGAGCAAAUCUCAGCUCUGCCGCUGCACCGCUGUGUGUCCUUGGACAAGCUAUUCACACUGCACCUCGGCCCGCCUCAGUCUCCUCCUCUGCCAAAAAAGGGUAGCAACAUCUUCAUCCCGAGGCUGCCGGGAGGAAUGAAGGAGACAGCAUACGAGGAAUGAUCAGCAGAGCUUCCUGGUCACUGUGCUCAACAUACCUGAGCUAUUAUCAAUCAUUAUCAGAGGAUUAAAUAAUUUAAUGCAUUAA